UACGUAGGGGGCUAGCGUUGUCCGGAAUCAUUGGGCGUAAAGCGCGUGUAGGCGGCUCGGUAAGUCCGCUGUGAAAGUCGGGGGCUCAACCCUCGGAUGCCGGUGGAUACUGUCGGGCUAGAGUACGGAAGAGGCGAGUGGAAUUCCUGGUGUAGCGGUGAAAUGCGCAGAUAUCAGGAGGAACACCUGCGGUGUAGACGGCUUUCUGGACCAUUGCUGACGCUGAGACACGAAAGCGUGGGUAGCAAACAGG
rnacentral:rRNA from 1 species